UAUUUAUAAGUAAUUUGGGAAUGGAAGGGUCUGCUCCGUAUACAGCUAUAGAUUGCAUAAAGACACACUAAGCUUAGAAUGACCCGGAGUGACCUUUUGUCGGUAAAGGUCCACAUCAUACCUGAAGCGAGCCAUAACUAUCAAUAUUGAAGGAUCACCGAAAACCGACAACUGGAGAUUAGUUCAGUGAGAGAGAACCAAAAUAAUUGGGGAAGCACCACCCUUCAACUCAGAUUAUAUGCUGCUGCACCACACAACCCAAUAAGGCAACAUGGUAGUACAGGUUGGUGGGUGAGUGGGUGGGUGGGAGACUCUUUUAUUAACUCACUCAAAUACCUACAUAACCCCUCUCACCCCCACCUUUUUUUCUCCUCUCUUUGUACCCCCUCUCUACCCAACCAACUUCUUAACAUAAAUUCCCCUAACUCCAAUCAUGUUGGUGGCAUGUUCAUAGUCCAGCAGAUAAACAGAUAACAGCCUAUACCAGGUUUCACAUAUUAGAAAGAAACCACAAAUUUUCUAUUCACACCACUGAAUGGGCAUAACCAAACUGUAAUUUUACACUAAGCAACUUGCUAAAAUGUGAUUAUCC